AUGGGAAUAGAAGCUUUUAUUUCUUUGGAUGAUCAAUUUGCUUGUUAUUUUUUCAAUAAUUGAUUGACAACAUUUGUUAUGUUGAUAGGAAUGAAUAAUAUCUUGCAAUUUCCUUAUUAAGCCUCAGAAAAAAUUUAUUAUGUAACGUUACAUAAUAAAUUUAUUAUUUCUCAAGUUGCUUAAUGUUUUAACACAAAUUGUAGAAAUUAAAAAUUUAAAAGUCCCAUUUUGUAUGACAUUGUUUUACCAUAUAUAUGAACUUUGUUGUCCACGGUAUUUGUUGUAUUGGAUGUUUGCUAUAUAACAUUUUAACUUAUGGAUGUUAUCAAACGUAUGUUCAAUUGAAUGGUGAUCCAUAAGUAGGAACCAACUAGAUUUGGUCAAUGUUGUAAACAAUAUAAAUGGCGCUCAUUAAAACUGCCCUCAGUAUAAAAUUACAUAAAAUAUUAAGAAUAUUGUAUUGGGAUCAAAAAUAUGAUAUUUCAGUUUCUAAACAUUAAAAUGGGACAAUUUGCAUAUUUAAGUAAUCUCUAUUGUAUGAAUAUUUCAGCAUGUUAGCUUAAUUGAAAUAAAACAUUGAAUAAGCAUUAAUGUAAAACUAUGAGCACACCUUAUGAUUAAAUAAAAUACAUGAAGAGUAUGUGUGUGUGUGUGUGUAUAAUAUGUUAUUUAUAAUUUCAAUCUUCAACGAAGAUUAUGAAUACACACACGCUUAGGCGAACAAUCUGAGAAUGAAAAAACUUUGGAGAAUAGAAUGUUAGAUAUCUGAAAGGUUCAUGUAUUAUGGCUUGCAGACAGUAUCUCGGAGAACAAUGCUGUUGAUAAUCGCACUGAAUGACGCUAUGAUUGUUUUAAGGAGGUUUGUACGUUCUUGUAUUAAUCAGCAUUGUUACCUUAUAUUCGUAACACAAGAUUUAAUAUACGCAUCGCAGUAUAACAUAUGAAAAUGUUAAAGGUCUAAAAUAAACAUAUAAGAAUUAUA